rnacentral:rRNA from 1 species
UACGAAGGGGGCGAGCGUUGUUCGGAAUUACUGGGCGUAAAGGGCGCGUAGGCGGCGACUCAAGUUAGAUGUGAAAGUCCUGGGCUUAACCUGGGGACUUGCAUUUGAUACUGGGUUGCUUGAAUUCGGGAGAGGAUAGCGGAAUUCCAGUGUAGAGGUGAAAUUCGUAGAUAUUGGGAAGAACACCGGUGGCGAAGGCGGCAAUCUGGACCGACGAUUGACGCUGAGGCGCGGAAAAGCGUGGGGAGCCAAAGCAGGG